rnacentral:rRNA from 1 species
UACGUAGGGUGCGAGCGUUAAUCGGAAUUACUGGGCGUAAAGCGCGCGCAGGCGGUUCUCCAAGUCCGUUGUGAAAGCCCCGGGCUCAACCUGGGAAUGGCAGUGGAAACUAGGGGACUGGAAUCUGGCAGAGGGGGGUGGAAUGCCGCGUGUAGCAGUGAAAUGCGUAGAGAUGCGGCGGAACACCGAUGGCGAAGGCAGCCCCCUGGGCUGAGAUUGACGCUCAGGCACGAAAGCGUGGGGAGCAAACGGG